CAUAGCGACUAUCGUGGCAUAUCAAUAAGCGGAGGAAAAGAAACUAACAAGGAUUCCCCUAGUAACGGCGAGUGAAGCGGGAAGAGCUCAAAUUUGAAAUCUUAAAGGGUUUCCCUUUACGAAUUGUAGUUUAAAGAAGUGUUUUCUGUUGGAGUUUCGGUAAAAGUUCUUUGGAACAGGACAUCAUAGAGGGUGAGAAUCCAGUAUUUGACCGUUACUUUCCAGCUGUGUGAUACACUUUCAAAGAGUCGGAUUGUUUGGGAAUGCAGUCCAAGAUGGGUGGUAAAUUUCAUCUAAAGCUAAAUAUUGGCGAGAGACCGAUAGCGAACAAGUACCGUGAGGGAAAGAUGAAAAGAACUUUGAAAAGAGAGUUAAACAGUACGUGAAAUUGUCAAAAGGGAAGCGUUUGACACCAGUGUUGUUUAGUUGAAAAUCAAUUCAAUAAUUUUUGAUUCUAAGUAGUAUUGACUUCAUCAGCUUGCUGCUUUCUUCUCAGGAAAUUAUUGAAUGCACUUUUCAGUUAACAAGUCAACAUCAAUUUCUUUUGUUGUAAAAGGGUAAGAGGAAGGUGGCUUACGCUUCGGCGUCAAGUGUUUAUAGCCUUUUACCUCUGCAAUCGGAGAGAUUGAGGACAGCAGCGUAGACUCCUUCGGGGGUUAGAUACACUUGUGCUAAGCUAUAGCCUUGUAUAGACAACUUGUUGACUAUGCUCAGUCAUGUAGCUUACUCGCUUGUGCUAUUUUACCUACGCUUAGGAUGUUGACGCGCGUGUGUGCGUG
rnacentral:rRNA from 1 species